UGUGGGAGCGAGCUUGCUCGCGAUAAGGUCGUCUCAUUCGACAUUUGAAUUGAAUGUCCGGACGCCUUCGCGAGCAAGCUCGCUCCCACA
rnacentral:misc_RNA from 1 species